AAAAAAAUUAAAAAAAAAAAUUAAUAAAAGAAAUCACAACAACAGAUGAGUACCAGGCUACUAGCUUCAGUUCUACAUCCUAAGUGCAGCCACUAAGAUACAAAGGUAAAGCCUUUGGUGAAAAAUUCCUAUGAAUAUCAUCUUACCAUGGUGAGAAAUUCUUUCAUUUCAUUGUCAACCUUCUUUCAACACCAUAUGGAAAUUGGAACUACAAAAACUUCACAUGUUCUCUGGAAAACAUUCGCCUUCUUUUUGUAAUCUACAAGUUGCAAUGUGAGCUAUAAGCAAAUUCAAAAUGAUAACCCGCUUUUGUAUAUAUACGAUUCUGAGAAAAUUCAACAUAAAAAAAUUAUGCCGAGUCGUAUUUUCAGCUUUCUCCUGCAAGAACAAAGAAUUUUAAACUGGACACCAUUCUAAUCCCAGCCAAACCUGAAAACCCUGCUCAUUGGUUAUGUACUGCUUUUGGCAAUAAAGUAACCAUCAGUCUAACCAAUGUAAUAUUUCCAAUGUCUUCAUAUUGACAAAAACCUUACUAGCAUUGCUUUCUAUAUUUUAAUAUUGGUUUAGAAAGGUAAAAAGAGAAAAUCAAAGGAGUCGCCUCCCAGAACGCAAGGAACCACAAAGGAAAAACAAACAGUCAAGGAUACAAGGGAAGAUACAAAUGUGGAUAAAAUGUUGAAGCCUGAUGAUUUCCUACUGCAAAGUUAUGUGAAAGAACCGCAUUAAGAGCAAAACUAUACAUAUUAACUCAUUUUUAAAUUACAAAGAAGAAUGAAAAGAAUGACUUACCCCACAUCAGGAAACUAGUUGGAAUUCCCCCAGGAUAGUCAUGGCCCAUGGAAGUCGUCACAGCCUUUGCAGAACUGCUGCUAGUUUAUUCACGGAAUUCUUCUGAUCAUACAUACUUGUUGCCAGUGUAGACACCAUCUUCAUAUGUGUCCUGAGAUUCUGCGGGGUUGUAUCUGUCCUCAAAUGCAUUUUUGCCAGAACAUUUGAACUAUGAUUCCCAUAUGAGUUUCUUAGAUGUCGAUCCCUAACAGCCAAUUGCUCAUCAUUCUUCUGAACACCAGAAUUAUUAGCAGAAUCUGGCAAAGAAUGAGAUGACUUGUAAUUUUGAUAGUUGGCCUUGCUAGAAGAUCUUUUUUCAUGAUGUUUAGGAGUGGUCAUUUCCACAUAAUCUCAUUUUCUAUAGCGGCUACUUUGUUCAUGCAACUUGCCAUGACUUCUAUGUCUUUCUAUACUUCCAGAAUAGAGUUCCCUACCAUGUCUGUCCGGCACUUUUUGGAUAUUCUGCUUGUUCAUGGUGCCUAUGAUGAUCUUGUCCCCAUUGAACAGAAUAUGGAUGCAAAGCAUUCUUGGAAGUUGUAGAUCUGUUGCUAUGACCAGAGUGCAAUAGUUUUUGGUAACUAUUUGGAGUAGAUCUUAUUGCUUCAGAAGACUCGCUAGCACUUCUACUUCAUUAACAUCCAAAGCAACAUCAGUAGUGGAGGGUGGUCUAGGGGACAUCCCUUCUUCUUCAGCUGCCUAGUCAAAACAGCCAAUCCCUCCAGCUCGCUUGAUUUCCUCCAUGUAUUCAUCUAUUAUAUCCCGCAUCACCUAUGGGUGAAAUUACAGCACUAAAAUACGGAGGAUAGCUGUUGGUUUGUCAAUAUGACAACCAUGAAUAUUACAGAUGCAAGAAAUUAUUGUCAAAUUUGAGCUCUCCCAUUUUGGUUCUCAAACAAAAAGAAAAAAAAAAGUGAAAUGCCACCAAAUAUAAAGAAUGUGGUUGGAACUUGAUGCAUCUAAUUAACAUACUUCACAUGGGUUUUUCUUAAUAACAACCCUAUAGCAUUUGUUUGCACCAAGAACAAUAAGUAGGAAUCUCUUAAAAAACGUUGGACAUCUGAUCAAAGCCCAAAGCCAGUAGGAGGAUUGAUUGCCUCCAAAAAAUUAAUGCAUGCUUAAAUUGAUAGAAAUUGUUGCAGGUAGUGAUGAAGUCUGAUGCUGCAUGCAAUAUAAAAUAUCAUAGAAUUCAUAUAACCUGGAUGCUCAAUUUGGGAAUAAAAGCUAAACAUUCUUUAGAAGUACGAUAAUGAAUAAAUUAUAUUAAAAAUAUUUCAAUUCAAUCCACGUCUUCACAGAAGAAUAAGAAAAAGAAACAAUCAGUUCACAAUUCAGCGAUCGGAUAUGUAGGCAUACAAUUCUUGCCAAAAGAUACUGUAAAUCGCAAACAUAUUUUAACCCAAACAUCUAGCCUCUAGGGUUUAAUCAACUAAUCAUGAAUAAGGACUCAAUAAUAAUAAAACAUUCAAAGUGUACUAAUUCAACAUGAAAACAUCUUCCUACCUGCAAAGUUGUCCUUUUCGACUUCUUCUCAUGAUAUGACAUCCUUCGGCGUUUGUAAUCCCUUUCUUCGGACAACAACUCCUCUCUAGUCUUAGUCUUGCUUGUUUCCUUGUGCAAAGACAAAAGAUUCUUAAACUUGCAAGAAUAGUAACUUUUAUAACUAGGAAGCAUUGUCAAGAGAAAAUAUAAGUAUACCAUGCUAGCAAAACAUUACUUGGAGCUUGUUUGGAAUGAAUGAACUUGAACCUACUAACAGUAUAAAUAAGACAUGCCAAUGAAUCAUGUUGUUUCCAUGUACCUGGUUACUUGAUUUCCUUGAAGGCAGGCCAUCAUGCUCAAUAAUAGCUCUAUAGUUAGAACGUGCCUUACGCUCGUCAUCUGCUCUUUUUGAUACAUAAUGAUGCUGAGUCAUCCGCUGAUAUCUUGGUAGUUGUUGAGGCAUUCGUAAUUUCUUUAUUUUUGCUUCUAGUAGUGACCUUUCGUGCAAUGCUGCAACUGCAGCUGCCACUUGGGACACAAAAAUACCCUCUACAUCAGUAUUUUCAUCCACUUCUUUACCUACUUUAGACUCCAUACUUCCUUCAAGAGGUUCUCCAAAUUUAACAUCUCUCAGGCCACUAUCGUUAGCAUCCAACUCUGUUGAUCUUUCUUUCAAAUCAAACUCCCAGGGAAACAACACCCCAUUAGCAGCCUCUAAUACACAUUGCCCAAAAAUGUGAAUAGCAAAGCACUUCGCAUUCAUUUCACCAUACAAAAUAGAAAGCUGAGAAGCAAUCCACAUCAAAACUUGACCCAAAACUGGACAGUCAUAACUCAAAGUUUUCAUAUUCAUACCAUGUCCAAGAAAACUCAAAGCUUCUCUUCUAAUUGCGUUUAAACAAAGCCUAAAAAGCACACAUACAUGAUCCCUCAUAUAAACAUCAAUCACCACCCCAUAACGUGGAGAAUUGGCAAUGACCCACCUCCUCAAGUCACUAACUUUGAUUGCAUUUAACUGCAAAUUGGAACAAAAAACACCAUAUGAGUAUGUACUAGGAUAGUCAACCCAACUCAUAACUUCUCUCCUAAUCGCCCACAAAUCUGAUGGCAAAAUUCUAAGCCCAUUUUUGUCAAACGACUUAAUAUCUCUCUCUCUACUAUCAACAAAAUUUGUACAUUCUACUGAUAAAACACCAGGUAAUGUAAACAUUUUAUUUGAGUUGUCUAAAUCAUUGAAGUUAACAACACCUGGGCAAUCUUUGUAAAAGAAAUUGGAACCAAACUCGUUGAAAUAGCCAUCCAAAGACAAGCAAAGUUCAGCAUUAUUGGAGUCCUCAACUGGCUGAGCAAUGAAAUUUUUGUCGGGGUUUUGGAGGUUUAAGGUUUUUGGGUAAUGCAGAGAGUCAAUAAGAGAAGUGGGGUCUUCAAAGAGAGGAGAUGGACAGCGAAGAGAAUGGCGAAAGAGCGACUCUGGUGGCAUGCGGUGGUGAGGGUUGUAGGGGCAGGAAACAUGGUUAACAUUUUGAGGCUGUGGAGAGCUAGUUUUGGGAUGGAGGAGAGAAGACAAGGAAGUGAGGGUUUGCUGAGACAGAGAAAUGAGGUCCUUGAGUGACGAAAGCGAGGUAAAGAUAUCGGGAAUCGGAGUGGCGGUGGUCAGAGGAAUUUGUGGAGGUGGUGGUGGCGGUGGUGGUGGAGGGGGUUGGACUUGGGGAACAGGGCGGAAGAAGAAAUUAGGGGUAGGGUUAGGGUUUUGAGGGGGAUAAGGGGAGAGGUAGUGAUUGGGAUUGGGAUUCAUGGAGAAGGGUACAGGAAGAAGCCUGAAUCCAGGAGGAGAAAGGCAAUUCAAAUUUCAGAAUUCAGAUUUGUCUGAAGCUCAGCUUGCCAAAUAGCCCUAACAGAGGAAAUUGAGGUGGCCAAACUGCAAACACUUCUAUUAAUAUGCACGUUUCUUCUGCGUCUGCGUUUGCG
rnacentral:misc_RNA from 1 species